rnacentral:lncRNA from 1 species
AACCAAAAUCCAAACUCUAGAAUUACCUUGUAGAUGUCGAACAAAAUAAAAUCCAACGAUACAAAGAGUUAGAAACUUAUACUUCCUCAAGAGUAGUAUGGUAAGAAGACGAUCUCCAAGAGACUCUAAAAUAAAAAUCCUCCAUCGAUAAAACACACGAAAGAUGUGUUAAGAAAUACUCCUCUAGAUUCGAUCCACAUUGAGCCCACA